rnacentral:rRNA from 1 species
GCAGCCGCCGCGGGAAAACGAAGGGUGCAAGCGUUACUCGGAAUUACUGGGCGUAAAGCGUGCGUAGGUGGUGGUUUAAGUCCGUUGUGAAAGCCCUGGGCUCAACCUGGGAAUUGCAGUGGAUACUGGGUCACUAGAGUGUGGUAGAGGAUAGUGGAAUUUCCGGUGUAGCAGUGAAAUGCGUAGAGAUCGGAAGGAACAUCUGUGGCGAAGGCGACUAUCUGGGCCAACACUGACACUGAGGCACGAAAGCGUGGGGAGCAAACAGGAUUAGAUACCCGAGUAGUCCCUGUCUCUUAUAC